rnacentral:sRNA from 1 species
UCUGCGUGUGCCCUUGCUCUAAAAAGCGA